UCCAGGAGAAGACAGCCGUCUGCAGCACAAGCGUUUGUCAAGGGGAUCUUUUCAAUAAAUGUGCAAUUUGCUGGGAUCAAUAUAUCCUCAUUUUUUCAUCAAAGCUCCAAGGCUUCGCAGGAGAAGAGACUGUUCUCCGUUUCCUCAUUCAACAUAAUCAGGCGCGGAGAAACCAAACUAAAUGACAGUCAAUAAAUGGGCCCAGUGCGUCUUCAUGUUUCAUGGACAGCGGGGCAGUUCUCCGCAGCUGUGUACAGGGAGAGAAGCAGUUUCAACAUGCUGGACUGACCGUGAAGUGAAGUGAACCUCGUUAACACAAGCUGCCAUGUAGUCUCUCUCGAGAAGGUGUGGUCAGGUGCCCCCAAGUGGAAAUAAGUGGAACAGCAUAUACAUUUCCGGAGGAACCAAUGGAGCUGGGACUAGAAAAUAUUUUGGAUAAAAAAAGUUGCCGUCAACAAGAAGUAAAUAGCAAUAGUAAAAGCCACAGUUAAUACAGCAAUCCCAGUCAAUACAUCAACCUUUUUAUUGACAAUGUUACCCACUGUGGUAAAUAUUACCCACUAUUUCUGAUAGAUUGCAUCAGAAUGGCCAAAAAAAUAUACAAAACUGUUUUUUGCACCUCUGAGGAAGAACUAAACUUCAAGAAUCUCAGGGUUUUGUCAAAUACACCAUAGCACCUUUAAUCAACAAUCAAUUCACAAUCAACAACUAUAUUAAUGACAACGACACAGGCCUAGAUAUACACAGCAGUAAAGUCUG